CCUACGGGAGGCUGCAGUGGGGAAUAUUGGGCAAUGGAGGAAACUCUGACCCAGCAACGCCGCGUGAAGGAUGAAGGUUUUCGGAUUGUAAACUUCUGUCGCGGGGGAUGAAGAAUGACGGUACCUCGAAAUAAAGCCCCGGCAAACUACGUGCCAGCAGCCGCGGUAAUACGUAGGGGGCGCGCGUUGUCCGGAAUGACUGGGCGUAAAGGGAGUGUAGGCGGCAUAUUAAGUUAUGUGUGAAAGCCCGAGGCUCAACCGCGGAAUUGCACAUAAAACUGGUAAGCGGGAGUGCAGGAGGGGUAAGCGGAAUGCGCGGUGUAGCGGUGGAAUGCGUAGAUAUCGGGAGGAACACCGGAGGCGAAGGCGACUUACUGGACUGUAACUGACGCUGAGGCUCGAAAGCGUGGGGAGCAAACAGGAUUAGAUACCCUGGUAGUC
rnacentral:rRNA from 1 species